GGAGGAAGUAGGGGAUCGCAAGACCUUGCGCUUUUGGAGCGGCCGAUGCCUGAUUAGCUUGUUGGUGGGGUAAAAGCUCACCAAGGCUCCGAUCAGUAGCUGGUCUGAGAGGACGACCAGCCACACUGGGACUGAGACACGGCCCAGACUCCUACGGGAGGCAGCAGUGGGGAAUUUUGGACAAUGGGGGCAACCCUGAUCCAGCCAUGCCGCGUGAGUGAAGAAGGCCUUCGGGUUGUAAAGCUCUUUCAGCCGGAACGAAACGGUCACGGUCAAUACCCGUGACUACUGACGGUACCGGAAGAAGAAGCACCGGCUAACUACGUGCCAGCAGCCGCGGUAAUACGUAGGGUGCGAGCGUUAAUCGGAAUUACUGGGCGUAAAGCGUGCGCAGGCGGUUUUGUAAGUCAGAUGUGAAAUCCCCGGGCUUAGCCUGGGAACUGCGUUUGAAACUACAAAGCUAG
rnacentral:rRNA from 1 species